rnacentral:rRNA from 1 species
AACGAACGCUGGCGGCAUGCCUAAUACAUGCAAGUCGAACGAGAUCUUCGGAUCUAGUGGCGCACGGGUGCGUAACGCGUGGGAAUCUGCCCUUGGGUUCGGAAUAACUUCUGGAAACGGAAGCUAAUACCGGAUGAUGACGUAAGUCCAAAGAUUUAUCGCCCAAGGAUGAGCCCGCGUAGGAUUAGCUAGUUGGUGGGGUAAAGGCCCACCAAGGCGACGAUCCUUAGCUGGUCUGAGAGGAUGAUCAGCCACACUGGGACUGAGACACGGCCCAGACUCCUACGGGAGGCAGCAGUAGGGAAUAUUGGACAAUGGGCGAAAGCCUGAUCCAGCAAUGCCGCGUGAGUGAUGAAGGCCUUAGGGUUGUAAAGCUCUUUUACCCGGGAUGAUAAUGACAGUACCGGGAGAAUAAGCCCCGGCUAACUCCGUG